CCUACGGGAGACUGCAGUGAGGAAUAUUGGUCAAUGGACGAGAGUCUGAACCAGCCAAGUAGCGUGAAGGAUGACUGCCCUAUGGGUUGUAAACUUCUUUUAUAAAGGAAUAAAACGCGGCACGUGUGCCUUUUUGCAUGUACUUUAUGAAUAAGGAUCGGCUAACUCCGUGCCAGCAGCCGCGGUAAUACGGAGGAUCCGAGCGUUAUCCGGAUUUAUUGGGGUUAAAGGGAGCGUAGAUGGGUUGUUAAGUCAGUUGUGAAAGUUUGCGGCUCAACCGUAAAAUUGCAAUUGAAACUGGCAGUCUGGAGUACAGUUGAGGUAGGCGGAAUUCGUGGUGUAGCGGUGAAAUGCUUAGAUAUCACGAAGAACCACGAUUGCGAAGGCAGCUUACUAAACUGUGACUGACAUUGAUGCUCGAAAGUGUGGGUAUCAAACAGGAUUAGAUACCCGAGUAGUC
rnacentral:rRNA from 1 species